rnacentral:rRNA from 1 species
UACGAAGGGGGCGAGCGUUGUUCGGAAUUACUGGGCGUAAAGGGCGCGUAGGCGGCGACUCAAGUUAGAUGUGAAAGUCCUGGGCUUAACCUGGGGACUGCAUUUGAUACUGGGUUGCUUGAAUUCGGGAGAGGAUAGCGGAAUUCCCAGUGUAGAGGUGAAAUUCGUAGAUAUUGGGAAGAACGCCGGUGGCGAAGGCGGCUAUCUGGACCGACAUUGACGCUGAGGCGCGAAAGCGUGGGGAGCAAACAGG